AUGACUUCAAGAGACAUGAUCAGCAUUUUAAUAGUGUUUCAGUCACUUUACUGGAUUCAAGGAGUUUCAGGAGCAAAUGAUGUCAAUCAGCCACAAACACUUUGGGUUGAAAAGGGACAAUCAGCCACAAUAAACUGCUCACACACAAAGAGUGCAACUCACAAUCAGAUGUACUGGUAUCGUCAGUACUAUGGAGAGAGCAUGGAGCUCAUAGUGUUCACUACCAGCUAUGGAACUCCAGACUUUGGAAAAUUCAACCAGAAUAAAUUUUCAGCUAUUAAAGCAGUUCCUGAGAACGGCUCAUUUACAGUGAACGAUGUGGAUUAUAAUGACAGCGCUGUGUAUUUCUGUGCUGUGAGUGAACACAGUGUUAUAACCACAGGGUAG